CCUGAUGGCGCGCUACUCUGGCAACAGAGCGGCGGAUGCCGGGAAUUGGUCAAACUUGAUCAUUUAGAGGAAUAAAAUCGUAACAAGGUUUCCGUAGGUGAACCUGCGGAAGGAUCAU
rnacentral:rRNA from 1 species